CCUGGUAAAAAUAGUGUAAUGGUACCACCUGAUCCCAUUCCGAACUCAGAAGUGAAACGUUAUAACGCCGAUGGUAGUACGAGGAUUCCUUGUGUGAGAGUAGGAAAUUGCCAGGU
rnacentral:rRNA from 1 species